rnacentral:rRNA from 1 species
UACGUAGGGGCCUAGCGUUGUCCGGAUUUAUUGGGCGUAAAGAGCUCGUAGGCGGUUCGGCAAGUCGGAUGUGAAAUCUCCACGCUUAACGUGGAGGGGCCAUUCGAAACUGCCGUGACUCGAGUCCGGUAGGGGAGUGUGGAAUUCCCGGUGUAGCGGUGAAAUGCGCAGAUAUCGGGAGGAACACCAGUAGCGAAGGCAGGUCUCUGGGCCACUACUGACGCUGAGAAGCGAAAGCAUGGGGAGCGAACAGG